rnacentral:rRNA from 1 species
CCUACGGGUGGCAGCAGUGAGGAAUAUUGGUCAAUGGGCGUGAGCCUGAACCAGCCAAGUCGCGUGAGGGAUGAAGGUUCUAUGGAUCGUAAACCUCUUUUAUAAGGGAAUAAAGUGUGGGACGUGUCCCGUUUUGUAUGUACCUUAUGAAUAAGGAUCGGCUAACUCCGUGCCAGCAGCCGCGGUAAUACGGAGGAUCCGAGCGUUAUCCGGAUUUAUUGGGUUUAAAGGGUGCGUAGGCGGCCUGUUAAGUCAGUGGUGAAAGUCUGCGGCUCAACCGUAGAAUUGCAGUUGAAACUGGGAGGCUUGAGUAUGUUAGAGGUGGGCGGAAUGCGUGGUGUAGCGGUGAAAUGCUUAGAUAUCACGCAGAACCCCGAUUGCGAAGGCAGCCUGC